CUCGAUAGUUUACUGCCGAAGUUUUCCUCGGUAGUUAACUUCCAUAAUUCGGCAGUUAACUGCCGAUGAGCAUUUCGGUAAAUUACUAAUAUGAC
rnacentral:pre_miRNA from 1 species